AUUGAACGCUGGCGGAAUGCUUUACAUAUGCAAGUCGCACGGGCCUUUCGGGGUCAGUGGCGGACGGGUGAGUAACGCGUAGGAAUGUGUCCUGAGGUGGGGGAUAACGCUGGGAAACUGGCGCUAAUGCCGCAUGAGUGCUGAGGCAGAAAGCCGUGAGGCGCCUUGGGAGCAGCCUGCGUCCGAUUAGCUUGUUGGUGGGGUAAUGGCCUACCAAGGCUUCGAUCGGUAGCUGGUCUGAGAGGAUGAUCAGCCACACUGGGACUGAGACACGGCCCAGACUCCUACGGGAGGCAGCAGUGGGGAAUAUUGGACAAUGGGCGCAAGCCUGAUCCAGCAAUUCCGCGUGGGUGAAGAAGGUCUUCGGAUUGUAAAGCCCUUUCGGCAGGGACGAUGAUGACGGUACCUGCAGAAGAAGCCCCGGCUAACUUCGUGCCAGCAGCCGCCGUAA
rnacentral:rRNA from 1 species